AUUGAACGCUGGCGGCAUGCCUUACACAUGCAAGUCGAACGGCAGCACGGGAGCAAUCCUGGUGGCGAGUGGCGAGCGGGUGAGUAAUAUAUCGGAACGUGCCCAGUAGUGGGGGAUAGCCCGGCGAAAGCCGGAUUAAUACCGCAUACGACCUGUGGGUGAAAGCGGGGGAUCGCAAGACCUCGCGCUAUUGGAGCGGCCGAUAUCAGAUUAGCUAGUUGGUGGGGUAAAGGCCCACCAAGGCGACGAUCUGUAGCUGGUCUGAGAGGACGACCAGCCACACUGGGACUGAGACACGGCCCAGACUCCUACGGGAGGCAGCAGUGGGGAAUUUUGGACAAUGGGCGCAAGCCUGAUCCAGCCAUGCCGCGUGUGGGAAGAAGGCCUUCGGGUUGUAAACCACUUUUGUCAGGGAAGAAACGGCUCUUACUAAUAUUAGGGGCUAAUGACGGUACCUGAAGAAUAAGCACCGGCUAACUACGUGCCAGCAGCCGCGGUAAUACGUAGGGUGCAAGCGUUAAUCGGAAUUACUGGGCGUAAAGCGUGCGCAGGCGGCUUUGCAAGACAGAUGUGAAAUCCCCGGGCUCAACCUGGGAACUGCAUUUGUGACUGCAUGGCUAGAGUACGGUAGAGGGGGAUGGAAUUCCGCGUGUAGCAGUGAAAUGCGUAGAUAUGCGGAGGAACACCGAUGGCGAAGGCAAUCCCCUGGACCUGUACUGACGCUCAUGCA
rnacentral:rRNA from 1 species